rnacentral:rRNA from 1 species
AGUGAACGCUGGCGGUAGGCCUAACACAUGCGAGUCGAACGGCAGCACCGUAAGAGCUUGCUCUUACGGGUAGCGAGUGGCGGACGGGUGAGGAGUGCAUCGGAAUCUUCUUUUUCGUGGGGGUUAACGUAGGGAAACUUACGCUAAUACAGCAUACGAUCUACGGGUGAAAGCAGGGGAUCUUCGGACCUUGCGCGAUUGAAUGAGCCGAUGUCGGUGUAGCUAGUUGGCGGGGUAAAGACCCACCCAGUCGACGAUCCGCAGCUGGUCGGAGAGGAGGGUCAGCGACAUGAGAAGGGAGACGCGGCCCAGACGCCUACGGGAGGCAGCAGUGGGGAAUAGUGGACAAUGGGCGCAAGUCUGAUCCAGCCAGACCGCGUGGGUGAAGAAGGCCCUGGGGUUGGAAAGCCCUUUUGUUGGGAGAGAAAAGCAGCAGGUUAAGACCCCGCGGGUCUGACGGUACCCAAAGAAUAAGCACCGGCUAACUUCGUG